rnacentral:rRNA from 1 species
GUGUCAGCCGCCGCGGUAAUACGUAGGGGGCUAGCGUUAUCCGGAAUUACUGGGCGUAAAGGGUGCGUAGGCGGUCUUUCAAGCCAGAAGUGAAAGGCUACGGCUCAACUGUAGUAAGCUUUUGGAACUGUGAGACUUGAGUGCAGGAGAGGAGAGUGGAAUUCCUAGUGUAGCGGUGAAAUGCGUAGAUAUUAGGAGGAAUACCAGUAGCGAAGGCGGCUCUCUGGACUGUAACUGACGCUGAGGCACGAAAGCGUGGGGAGCGAACAGGAUUAGAAACCCGCGUAGUCC